GUGCCCAUUAUAGACCAGGCUCUGUGCUAGGGAUACAAUAGCAGGCAAAACAUCUAUUGUCUUGCUUUCAUGGAGUUUACAGAGUCAUAGAUGGAGUAUAUAUUAAACAAAUAACCUUAUAGUACAUAUAUUAUCUACUAACUAUCAGUGCUAUGAAGGGAAUGUAUGGGUUAUCAUGCAAAAGGGUAACAGGGGUACCUGACCUACUUUGUUGGGGAAGUCCUCUCUGAGACCUAAGGGAUGAGGAGUUAGUCAGAGGACUGGAAGGAAAGGCACUGCAAGCGGAGGGGAAAAGUCUUGCAAAGUUUCUUUUUCUAGAGAGUGUAGGGUGUUUGAAACUGGAAAGAAAAGCAGAAGUCAGACUGUGCAGGGUAUCAACAGUUUUUCUAAGGAGUUUGGAUUCUAUUCUAAGAAGAUACUGGUGGACACAAUGGUGAGCAAAAGAAAACGCAACCAAUCCCUGUUGUCAGUCAAGGAGAGGAGACAGAUGUUAAUUAACUAAACCCAAGAAUCAAAUAAGCUGAGCUAUUGUAAGCA
rnacentral:lncRNA from 1 species